AGCAGCCGCGGUAAUUCCAGCUCCAAUAGCGUAUAUUAAAGUUGUUGCAAGUUAAAAGCUCGUAGUUGAACCUUAGGCCCGUGCGGGCGGUCCGUCCUCAGGGCGAGCACUGCCUCGUCGCGGGUCUCGCCUUCUGGCGAGCGUGGAUGCCAUUCACUUGGUGUCUUCGGGAACCAGGACCUUUACCUUAGAAAAAUUGAGUGCUCAAAGCGGGCUCGUACGCUUGAAUACAUUAGCAUGGAAUAAUGAAAUAGGACGACGGUUCUAUUUUGUUGGUUUCCGGGAUUGUCGUAAUGAUUAAUAGGGAUAAUUGGGGGCAUUCGUAUUCAAUUGUCAGAGGUGAAAUUCUUGGAUUUAUUGAAGACGGACUACUGCGAAAGCAUUUGCCAAGGAUGUUUUCAUUAAUCAAGAACGAAAGUUGGGGAUACGAGACGAUCAGAUACCGUGUACGUCUCAACCAUAAACUAUAGACCGAC
rnacentral:misc_RNA from 1 species